rnacentral:rRNA from 1 species
CCAAUAGCGUAUAUUAAAGUUGUUGCAGUUAAAAAGCUCGUAGUUGAACUUCGGGGUUUACCCAUUGGUCAGGCUUAAUUGUCUGUACUGGUGAGAUAAAUCUCUACCUUCUGAGGAACUUUCAUGCCAUUUAUUUGGUGUGAUGGGAAAUCAGGACUGUUACUCUGAAAAAAUUAGAGUGUUUAAAGCAGGCUAACGUCUGAAUACAUUAGCAUGGAAUAAUGAAAUAGGAAGGACUGAUUCUAUUUCGUUGGUUUCUAGGAUCACCGUAAUGAUUAAUAGGGAUAGUUGGGGGCAUUAGUAUUCAAUUGUCAGAGGUGAAAUUCUUGGAUUUAUUGAAGACUAACUACUGCGAAAGCAUUUGCCAAGGAUGUUUUCAUUAAUCAAGAACGAAAGUUAGGGGAUCGAAGACGAUCAGAUACCGUCGUAGUCUUAACCAUAAACUAUGCCGACUAGGGAUCGGACGAAGUUAAUUUUAUAAUGACGCGUUCGGCACCUUACG